UCAACUCCAAGAAGCACCGGAAACACAGCCUAAGGAAAUCCAAGCAGGAUGUGAAGCAGCCCAGCCAUCUCCCAGCGGUCAAGAGAGACCAAGGAAAACCUCUGUCCUGGCAGGAUGCCCCACAAAGGGACCAAGGAUGGAGAGCUUGGGGGCCACACCACUAAACUUCUUCCUUUCCAGCUGUGACAGCUGCAUCAGACUUGGCAUUGAAGGUCUACAGCGACUGUGCCUGAGUGGUCUCUGGGACUCAAGAUCCAAUGAAGCUCGAUUUCCUUUCCCUUCUGCUUACGUGUUAGGAUGGAAAAAUCAGACUAAGGGUACCUGGCUCCCUCUUCCUCAAGGAACCCCAAGCUCCAACGAAAGGAAGACCCUUCUCCUUUCUCUGUGAAGCCCCUUGUGCCUCAGUUUCCCUUUUGGUAUAAGAGCUUUGAAAAACAGGUUUCGUCUGCGGACUGGAGCACCAGGUCUGGGUGGGGCGGACCCUUGGGUCAGGCUCUCCGUGCCUGGGACAUGUGGCCUGUCCAACCGGUACCCGGGCGCAGCUAGCUUGAUUUAAAAACGCUGACAGUUGGUACAGUAAGCAUCGCUCUGGAGUCAGCCCAGCCCUCCAGCUGCUACAGAGCUAAAGCUCUCCGGGAUCAGAAUGACAGAAGCCAAGCAUUGCCCCUUCGGGACCCUCUCUUCCGCAAAAUUCUAGGAGAGCCUCUGAGCGAUGGGACCCGGGAGGGAGCGGUGUCUGGGGAAACAGUUGUGAGAAACAGACAUUUUUCCAGCUUCCAAACUGGAAGCGCAGAGCCCAUCCCCCUUUUUUCACAGACGGGGAAACUGAGGCCAAAAGAAAGCGGGCAUUGGUUGAAAUGGAAAGAGAGAUCUUGUUUCCAGUGUCAGGGGGUCUUCAAUGAGGGGCAUACCUAUACAUAUCUACUUUCUCGGUAGUGAACUUCAGCUUACAAUCUUCAUGAUGGGUGUGCGUGGCCCUUUAAUGGUCUUGGAGUAGGGUCACUGCCAAUGUGGGGAUGCGAAGUGUACAGCCAGAGACACACAGUAAACCACCUUACCCUAAUCUCUUGGAAGCCUUUGAUUUUCUGCCCAACUAGCAUGCAUUUGACUUGACCCCCAGCAAGAUCCCAGGGAGUGGCUCCCCCACCGAUUGUGCAUAGGAUGCUUGGGGUGCUCCUCUGGGGAUGCUCCGGGGUUGCGAGAGGGCAAAAUAGCCAUGAGAGAGAGAGGCGGAGCGGAGAUGAGCAACCCUGAGAAAACAGAGCAAAAACCGGGAGAGCAGCGGAAAGAGAAGCCCAAAGUAGGAAAACAGAAGAAGGAGAUGAAGAGAGGAAGGCAAGCAGCGAGAGGACCCACUGCUUUCUGACUGCUCGGUGCACACAUCAGAUAGAUCCACGACCUCCCGUGGCUCACCGCAUGAGAACAAAGCCUGGACUCCUAGGUUUGGGGGUGGCGGCACUCACGCCCCGGGGAGUGGCAGAGCUCGCAGGGAUAGCGGUCACGGAGCUCCAGGCCUGCAAGAGCAACUCCCAGACCCCCAGGCCACAUACCCCAGCCACCCCACGACCCUGCUAUGCGCUGCCACUUACUUGUGGUCCAUCCCGGCUCGCACGCCGCCAGCGGCCAGUGUAGCUGCAGAGCGAGAGCCAGCAAGCAGAACCGGGCGGCGCCCGCGCGCCCGGGCAUGAUAGCAGUGGCCCUCUCACUGUCCGCGAUUACGCGUCCCCUGCCAUUGCCUGUCCCGGGCCUAGCGGUGGCGGCGCUUUUCAAGCAACCGCUGGCCUAAAAGCCUCCAAGUCCGCUGCCCAGACGCUCCGCCCCCAGCCCCUCAGGGCUCAGCCUGGAGAUGGAGGAGGGGAGGCGCCACACGAGGGUUGGGGGUGGUGGCUGGAGGGACAGAAGUGGGAGGCGAGAGGGACAGAAGCUUACUGGGAGCCCCGCUGAUUCAGGUGAAGGGCACCCUGGGGAAGGGAUGGCCAGAAUCCUGGAGUAAAUCCACCAAGCUUGAGGCCUGGAGAGAACACAGGGCUGGAGUUGAAAGGGUUAAUCCAGACCCUUCAGCUGCACCGAGACUAGUUUACUCUGUCCUGCUUUGUGUUAAGUGCUUAAGGUGACUGAAGCUACUCCUUCCAACGCUGUCACCAGGGUUGACCAAUCUUGGAGGCAGGCUCUGAAAGAGUUAAUUCCAAGGCAAAGAAGCUUGUGCUGUCUGUGGCUCCAGUUCCAGGGGAUCUGACGCCCUCUUCUGGCCUCCAUGAGCACCUGCACAUUCUUGCCAUUUUCUCACGCAAAAACAAAUACAUAAAUGAAAAUAAAUCUU